AGAAAAUUCUACUGUUCCUGUAGUGCUUGUAAACACAACACAGGUCCAAAUUUACCUAAUCAUAAUUUGUAAUCUGAUACAUCUGCAUCAGUGACCAGGCUAACAUUAAAACAUUGUUUGAAACAAUGUUUGUCACCAGUAGUUUCAGAUGAGUCAUUGAAUGUGUGUGUGUUCUGAAACUUUCUCUAAAAAUCUAUUGUUGGACACUGUGCCAGACUGUGUCUAGACAAAGUUCCUGUUUCAAUGCUGUUUCUUAAAGGUUGAACCUCUGUUUUUUAUAUACUGUUAUUGUGUUGAUCAGAUGAUCUGCCUGCUCCAUGUGUGCAGUAGUUGUGUUUUUGAAAGUUCCAGCUACUGUUUUGCGGAACUCGGAGGGGCUUCUUAAACUGCCAGUUCUGAGAUGCUCUUUGCACUCUCAAGCACACAGCCUUGCUCUGUGUUUGACUUGUGUCCGAAGCUUCGUAAUAAAAGACAAACAAACUGUUUGUUUGAUUCACUCUUUAUUCCUGACAACGACAUAAAAUUGUCAUCACAGUUUGGUGUCAGAAGUGGGAUGCACAGGUGAACAUCGGAGCCGGAGUUGGACAGCUUGGCUAACGGGGUCGAAUACCGAGCCCGCCUCGUACCCGACAGACACGGACGGAGGACGCUCCAUCUCCGGACCAACCGAUCAUCCCUGCUAAAUUCCAAGAGACGAACCUUUGAACGUCCACAAUUUAAUUGGGAGCACGAGUACAGGCAGCGCUGCCCCAACACCACUACACGACCUGACCCCUGGGACACACAUCCUAGUUCGGAACACCAGACGGAAAAGGUGGAUGGAUAAACGCUGGAUAGGACCCUUCCAGAUCCAACUGGUCACCCACACAGCAGUAAAGGUCGCCGAACGUCCCACCUUUAUACACGCCAGCCACUGCAGGAGAGUUCCCUCACCUGACGUCGUCCCUCCAGUCAUCUCCUCAAUACCGGACCCCCAACAACAACACGAUAGCCCCUAAAACAAACAAUCAGGUGAAGUGCUAGUAACCUCUCCCUGAUUCCCAACAUAGCCAACCGUUUCAGAACCACCGCCAACUGCCUCAACAUGCUACUACUCAUGCUGACCAUGACCAUCAUCCACGCCACGACUCAUGUUAACCAACUACGAUCCCCUGUCCCAGAUGCCCAGGGAUCAUCAAACUCAGAAUUCUAGAAUCAUUUCUACCUCGAUGUUUAUGAAACGGCAUUUUAAACCUUUUUGGAGUAAUGUUGCGGAUGUUUUCUCCUCAAGCCUACAGUAUGUAUCAAUGUGCGUAACCAAUUUUCGGGUGUUGAUCAAUACUAAAGUAUGAUCAAAAGGGAGGAAAUGUAAUAGAAAAUUCUACUGUUCCUGUAGUACUUGUAAACACAUCACAGGUCCAAAUUUACCUAAUCAUAAUUUGUAAUCUGAUACAUCUGCAUCAGUGACCAGGCUAACAUUAAAACAUUGUUUGAAACAAUGUUUGUCACCAGUAGUUUCAGAUGAGUCAUUGAAUGUGUGUGUGUUCUGAAACUUUCUCUAAAAAUCUAUUGUUGGACACUGUGCCAGACUUUGUCUAGACAAAGUUCCUGUUUCAAUGCUGUUUCUUAAAGGUUGAACCUCUGUUUUUUAUACACUGUUAUUGUGUUGAUCAGAUGAUCUGCCUGCUCCAUGUGUGCAGUACUUGUGUUUUUGAAAGUUCCUGCUACUGUUUUGCGGAACUCGGAGGGGCUUCUUAAACUGCCAGUUCUGACAUGCUCUUUGCACUCUCAAGUACACAGCCUUGCUCUGUGUUUGACUUGUGUCCGAAGCUUCGUAAUAAAAGACAAACAAAC